UCGAGAAUCUUCGGCAAUGGACGCAAGUCUGACCGAGCGACGCCGCGUGGAGGAUGAAGGCCUUCGGGUUGUAAACUCCUGUCACGGGACGAGAAUAAGUGGGGGUUCAUACCCCCCAUGAUGACUAUCCCGAGAGGAAGCCACGGCUAACUCUGUGCCAGCAGCCGCGGUAAUACAGAGGCGGCAAGCGUUGUUCGGAAUCACUGGGCAUAAAGGGCGCGUAGGUGGUCAGGAAGGUUAGGGGUGAAAUCCCUCGGCUCAACCGGGGAAACGCCUCUAAAACCGCCUGGCUGGAGCGAAACAGGGGAGAGUGGAACUCGUGGUGGAGCGGUGAAAUGCGUAGAUAUCACGAGGAACGCCGGCGGCGAAGGCGACUCUCUGGGUUUCUGCUGACGCUGAGGCGCGAAAGCUGGGGGAGCAAACG
rnacentral:rRNA from 1 species